rnacentral:rRNA from 1 species
UACGUAGGGGGCGAGCGUUGUCCGGAAUCAUUGGGCGUAAAGAGCGUGUAGGCGGGCCGGAAGGUCUGGUGUGAAAGCCCGGGGCUCAACCCCGGAGGGUCACCGGAAACCGACGGUCUUGAAUCUGGAAGAGGAGAGUGGAAUUCCUGGUGUAGCGGUGGAAUGCGCAGAGUAUCAGGAGGAACACCAAUAGCGAAGGCAGCUCGCUGGGACGUUACUGACACUGAGGCGCGAAAGCGUGGGGAGCGAACAGG